GGGGGCGAUUUGGAUUCGACGACGGAUACGAACCCUGAGGUGCAUGCCGUGAUGGCAGCCAAUCACGUAAAUCCAAAGCUGUGACUUAAUAGUUGCCAAUGACGACAACUACGGUGCGCAACUGGCUGCGUAAGCAGUCCGUUAAACACCUUCUAGUGGCUUCGGCCCUAGCGGUCCUUAGCAAGGUUCCAGCCCCGCGCUACUGACUGUCAUAUAGAACUGGAUCGCUGCAACGUACGUCCUGGACCGCGCGGCUAAACUUAAACAGGAAUCGCCAAUCACGUCCUGCCCGUUGGGCUGUGUGCGGUUAAACUAAUUAACGGAAUCUAAGCAUGUAGAGCCGAAGGCAGAGGUCUGGCGGACGCGGGUUCAACUCCCGCCGCCUCCACCA
rnacentral:tmRNA from 1 species